rnacentral:rRNA from 1 species
GAUGAACGCUGGCGGCGUGCUUAACACAUGCAAGUCGAACGAAGCACCUUGAUUUGAUUCUUCGGAUGAAGAUCUUGGUGACUGAGUGGCGGACGGGUGAGUAACGCGUGGGUAACCUGUCUCAUACAGGGGGAUAACAGUUAGCAAUGACUGCUAAUACCGCAUAAGACCACAGCACCGCAUGGUGCAGGGGUAAAAAGUCCGGGGGUAUGAGAUGGACCCGCGUCUGAUUAGGUAGUUGGUGGGGUAACGGCCUACCAAGCCGACGAACAGUAGCCGACCGGAGGGGGGGACCGGCCACGAUGGGACUGAGACACGGACCAAACUCCUACGAGAGGCAGGAGUGGGGAAUAUUGCACAAUGGAGGAAACCCUGAUGCAGCGGCGCCGCGUGAGAGAUGAAGUAUUUCGGUAUGUAAAGCUCUAUCAGCAGGGAAGAAAAUGACGGUACCGGACAAAGAAGCACCGGCUAAAUACGUG